rnacentral:rRNA from 1 species
AUUGAACGCUGGCGGCAGGCCUAACACAUGCAAGUCGAACGAGUGGCGGACGGGUGAGUAAUGUCUGGGAAACUGCCCGAUGGAGGGGGAUAACUACUGGAAACGGUAGCUAAUACCGCAUACCAUCGGAUGUGCCCAGAUGGGAUUAGCUAGUCGGUGGGGUAACGGCUCACAUAGGCUACGAGCCAUAGCUGGUCUGAGAGGGUGACCAGCAACACUGGAACAGAGACACGGUCCAGACGCCUACGGGAGGCAGCAGGGGGGAAGAUUGCACAAUGGGCGCAAGCCUGAUGCAGCCAUGCCGCGUGUAUUAAGAAGGCAUUCGGGUUGUAAAGUACUUUCAGCGAGGAGGCGUUACUCGCAGAAGAAGCACCGGCUAACUCCGUGCCAGCAGCCGCGGUAAUAC